ACGAACGCUGGCGGCGUGCUUAACACAUGCAAGUCGAACGGAAAGGCCCUGCUUUUGUGGGGUGCUCGAGUGGCGAACGGGUGAGUAACACGUGAGUAACCUGCCCUUGACUUUGGGAUAACUUCAGGAAACUGGGGCUAAUACAGGAUAGGAGCUCCUGCUGCAUGGUGGGGGUUGGAAAGUUUCGGCGGUUGGGGAUGGACUCGCGGCUUAUCAGCUUGUUGGUGGGGUAGUGGCUUACCAAGGCUUUGACGGGUAGCCGGCCUGAGAGGGUGACCGGCCACAUUGGGACUGAGAUACGGCCCAGACUCCUACGGGAGGCAGCAGUGGGGAAUAUUGCACAAUGGGCGGAAGCCUGAUGCAGCAACGCCGCGUGCGGGAUGACGGCCUUCGGGUUGUAAACCGCUUUCGCCUGUGACGAAGCGUGAGUGUCGGUAAUGGGUAAAGAAGCACCGGCUAACUACGUG
rnacentral:rRNA from 1 species